AUGUCAUGUGAAUCAUUGAGUAUAAGAACUAGAACCGCAACCAAUUCCCAAAAGCGAAAGU
rnacentral:sRNA from 1 species